rnacentral:rRNA from 1 species
GACGAACGCUGGCGGCGUGCUUAACACAUGCAAGUCGAACGGAAAGGCCCUGCUUUUGUGGGGUGCUCGAGUGGCGAACGGGUGAGUAACACGUGAGUAACCUGCCCUUGACUUUGGGAUAACUUCAGGAAACUGGGGCUAAUACCGGAUAGGAGCUCCUGCUGCAUGGUGGGGGUUGGAAAGUUUCGGCGGUUGGGGAUGGACUCGCGGCUUAUCAGCUUGUUGGUGGGGUAGUGGCUUACCAAGGCUUUGACGGGUAGCCGGCCUGAGAGGGUGACCGGCCACCUUGGGACUGCGGUACGGCCCAGACUCCUACGGGGGGCAACGGUGGGGAAUCUUGCCCAAUGGGCCGAAGCCUGAUGCGACAACGCCGCGUGCGGGAUGACGGCCUUCGGGUUGUAAACCGCUUUCGCCUGUGACGAAGCGUGAGUGACGGUAAUGGGUGAAGAAGCACCGGCUAACUUCGUG